GAUCUGCACAACAGAAAGGAAAGUGCUGUCACAAAGGGGACCUUUGGUGUGCCUGGCUGUGUCAUUGUGCCAGAGGAACGGGAGAAAGCAGAAGGCACAGACAAAACCUCAGUCAGCCACACUCUGCCCAGCCUGCUGGCAGGGAUCCCAGCCUGAACUGAACGCUGAACUUCGCUUGAUUGAUUACAGCAUUUCAGUGACAAUUUCUGUCCUGCUGGGGAUGCUCUGGGCUCGCAGUGAGAGCAGCCCAGGAGGUGGCAGCAGAUCCAAGGAACAGCAUGAGGCUGCAGGCAGCCAGCCAGGAACUGGGACCGGCUGGGAAGGAGCACAGGGUGUCACAGGCACUCCUGCUCCAGGACAUUACUUAUCUCUGACCAACAAGGAUCAGGCUGAAAGGAGAGACUGACAGCAUUUAUUUCUCAGUCCUCUCCACCUGGUUUGCCCUCUGCUGACUUUCACCUACAAAGGAUUUCCUGCAGGAGAAGGAAGAUAUUUACUACUCUGUGUGUUCUGGAAAGCAAAGGUCUCCUGCCUCCAGGUCUGGUUCAGCUGCUAAAGACAGAGGCCCUUGCCCAGAGAGUAUCAAUAAACCAAAAA